AUGUACCAAUAAAAGAACUUAAGAACAACAACAACAACAAAUCCUGGAGUGGUGUGGGUCUCUUGUAUUCUCUGUGAGGCUCUGGUGAACAUAUACAAAAUCAAUUAGAUGGAGCAUAAUGUGGGUAAAAAUCCCAUUUUGCCACUUUUGCACAUGUGCACACACCUUGUCAUACCAAAUGGGUAAAUAUAUAGAUUGUAUGUGUCCUGUAUCCCUCAGGGAAAUAUACUGACCUGCACAGCUGGCUACUGUUAUGCAAAGUACAAAUUUACAGUAGAAAGUAAGGAAUGGGUCCGUUGGACCCAGUGUUCUGCUUAGUGGGUUAGGUUCCAAUGGCUGACUGAAUUCCUUGUCACUGAACCAGAGAACCUGGUCUUUACUUGUGAGAAAUGUAUUCAUUUGCCCAGCCCCAAGGAAUGGACCCAGAGGCACAAAGAACGGCAAAAGUGAGGCUUUAAUUCAGUCUUGCAAGACUGGGCGUCUGCUAUGCAAGAAGACACACAACAGGGCAGUUACAGCUCAAGCCUCAGGAGAUCUCUCAGGAGAGGAGUCAGCCGCAUCUGGAGAAACUGGGUCCCACGUCUCACAUGAUGCCUGUGGCCAUUUUCUCAGAGGAGUCAAAGUGGGAAACACAGUAGCCGAGGGCAGAAGGUCCCACUCCAGGAUGAAAAGGAGUCAAGCCUGACUCUGGAUACUCAAGCUUGCUUAGAGCUUUUGAAGAUGGAUGUAAGGGAGUCCAUAGUCAACCAUCUUGUGUGAUCUUUGCUUCAAGGGAACUCUUUGUUCCUGCACAAGUUUUUGCAAAACUACCAAGUAUUUGGGACCACGCAGCAGGUGCUGGAUCUGCUGUUGAAAAGGUACUGUUUGACUAGUGACGGCUGGCACCGUCACAAGUGGCGCCCGAACAGGGACCUGAGCAUGGAGGACAAGGUGAAGGACGCCACCAGAUUGUGAGCUCGGAUAAGUAAGUAGGGGGCGGUGAUAUAAGAUAUAAGGACUACUAAUAGUUGGAUGCUAUAAGAUAUGGGGACCAGUAGUAGUCGGAUGCUGUUUGCUCAGAUAUUAAAAAGGAUGCUUCGGUCCCGUGGAGCUAAGGUAGGGCAACAGCAGUUAUGUCAUUUUUUAGAAUUUGUGGAGAGAGUCUGCCCAUG